rnacentral:rRNA from 1 species
GAUGAACGCUGGCGGCGUGCCUAAUACAUGCAAGUCGAACGAGGUGCUUGAGUAGCAAUACAAGAGUAUCCUAGUGGCGAACGGGUGAGUAACGCGUGGGUGACCUGCCCCAAAGUGUGGGAUAACAGUCCGAAAGGAUUGCUAAUACCUCAUGUGGUCUUCGGGUUUAGAAACCGAUGACUAAAGCAGUAAUGCGCUUUGGGAGGGACCUGCGUCCCAUCAGCUAGNGGUGAGGUAAUGGCUCACCAAGGCUACGACGGGUA